UCGAUAUAUUUUUUCUGUGUGUUUCGCUAGCACCGCGGCGCUGCUCGCUCUGUGGUUCCACUUCCUCCCACUGCGGCGGGGAGAGCCUUGUAAAACCCGGGGCGGGUCAUCGCCGGCUGGAGCCGGAGCGCGUUACCUGCUGAUUUGGACCUCUUUUUCUUUCUGUCAGUGGUGAUUUACAGUGGGAAUAGCAUCGACCAGUCUGCAUGGGCUACAGGAAACCAGAGGGGGGCUACUUGAGAAAGAGAGGACGACACAUUUAGGCCUAUUUGAACUGGAUAAGCCUCACUGCAGCACACUUAGCAGACAGACAGGCUUCACUCAUCCCCGCCGGUGUGUGUCUGUAUUGAAUAAGUUGUUUUUCACAUUGAAUCUGCAUGUUCACGAAGCAGCAGCCUCUGAUAAAUGGCAUUACAGCACAGUAACUGAUUUUCUAUAGGAUGCUUAAGUGAGCUGGAUGUGUGGUUUCGGUGGAAACGCAGUGCCGUUUCCUGGCCAGCAAUGGUACUGCUCCUCAUACACUGCGAUGGUGGAGGCCUGCAGGCUGCAGGAGGCCCACACAGCAGAUAACACCAUGUUUCAUAAACAGGGAUGUUUUAUAGUUUGGCUGUGCAGAAAAAGCAUGCCAGACCAGUGGUGGAAGAAGAUCUUAGAUCCUUUACUUGAGUAACAAUCUGAGCUGAAACUGUUAGUUGGUCAACAUAAAAUGAAUCUGCAAUCAAUGUUUU